rnacentral:rRNA from 1 species
GACGAACGCUGGCGGCGUGCCUAACACAUGCAAGUCGAGCGGAGGUACAAUGAGAGCAAUCGAGAUGUACUUUAGCGGCGGACGGGUGAGUAACGCGUGAGCAACCUGCCUAUCACAGGGGGAUAAGGCGGCGAAAGCCGCUCUAAUACCGCAUGAGACCCUCAAAGCGAUGCAAUGGGGGUGAAAGGAGCGAUCCGGUGAGAGAUGGGCUCGCGUCCGAUUAGGUAGUUGGUAGGGUAAGGGCCUACCAAGCCAAUGAUCGGUAGCCGGCCUGAGAGGGUGAACGGCCACAUUGGAACUGAGAGACGGUCCAAACUCCUACGGGAGGCAGCAGUGGGGAAUAUUGGGCAAUGGGCGGAAGCCUGACCCAGCAACGCCGCGUGAGGGAAGAAGGUUUUCGGAUUGUAAACCUCUGUUCUUGGGGAAGAGGAGGAGACGGUACCCAAGGAGGAAGCCACGGCAAACUACGUGCCAGCGCCCGCGGUAAUACGUAGCGUG